rnacentral:rRNA from 1 species
UACGUAGGGACCGAGCGUUGUCCGGAUUCAUUGGGCGUAAAGAGCUCGUAGGCGGCCACUCAAGUCGAAUGUGAAACCUCGAGGCUUAACCUCGAGCCUGCAUUUGAUACUGGGCGGCUAGAGUCUGGUAGGGGGAUCUGGAAUUCCUGGUGUAGCGGUGGAAUGCGCAGAUAUCAGGAGGAACACCGAUGGCGAAGGCAGUUCUCUGGGCCGUAACUGACGCUGAGGAGCGAAAGCGUGGGGAGCGAACAGG